UACGAAGGGUGCAAGCGUUAAUCGGAAUCACUGGGCGUAAAGGGCGUGUAGGCGGUCAGGUAAGUGGGAUGUGAAAUGCCCCGGCUCACCCGGGGACCGGCAUCCCAUACUGCUUGGCUUGAGUACGGGAGAGGAUGUGGGAAUUCCUGGUGUAGCGGUGAAAUGCGUAGAUAUCAGGAGGAACACCGGUGGCGAAGGCGCACAUCUGGCCCGAUACUGACGCUGAGGCGCGAAAGCUAGGGGAGCAAACGGG
rnacentral:rRNA from 1 species